rnacentral:lncRNA from 1 species
UCAUGUUAAAUUGUUGUUUCAAAGCUUUAAUUUUUUUAGUUUUGGUUCGACAUUUCUCUAGUUCUGUAUUUAUUUUAUUUCUAUCUUCCUAAAUUCCAAUAUCUCUCAUUUGCUCUAAAAUAUCUUGUUUGUGUUUACUUCUUUUUUCUAAUUUCUUUUUCUGCUGUUCCUUCCUUUGUCUUAUUGUUGCUACAUGACUUUUAAAAAGAUUACUCUUUCUCUCUUUCAUUAUUUUAAUGUUACUCCCGUUAGAUUUUCUUGCCUCAGAUAUAAUAUUUUUUUAUCAUCAGAAGAUUUUUUCUCUAACCAUGCACCAGUUUUAUUACCACUAUACAUAAUUGUAUUUUCU